rnacentral:rRNA from 1 species
CAGCCGCCGCGGUAAUACGUAGGUGGCAAGCGUUGUCCGGAAUUAUUGGGCGUAAAGAGCUCGCAGGCGGUUUCUUAAGUCUGAUGUGAAAGCCCCCGGCUCAACCGGGGAGGGUCAUUGGAAACUGGGAAACUUGAGUGCAGAAGAGGAGAGUGGAAUUCCACGUGUAGCGGUGAAAUGCGUAGAGAUGUGGAGGAACACCAGUGGCGAAGGCGACUCUCUGGUCUGUAACUGACGCUGAGGAGCGAAAGCGUGGGGAGCGAACAGGAUUAGAUACCCCAGUAGUCCCUGUCUCUUAUAC